CUCCCCUCAGCACCCUCCACUGAUAUAAACACAUCUCAACCCGAAAAUAACAUCCUCCUACAAAUGUUGGAGCUGCUAAAAAUAUUAAAUUUCAUAUAGUCAUUGCUCCUACUGCACAAUGUGGACACGUCACAGCACAUCUAAUUGUAAGAUGGCCACUCCUCACAUUCAGUACCUGAUGUAUCUAUGAGGUUUUAAAGCUGAAUACUAUUGCACUCCUACGUUCGUCCCUCCUAACGUAAAACGUUUCCUCUAUAAGCUCUGAGCCUUGUGUUGCGUUCAGAGAGCAUGGUGAUGCCGACUUAUAUUGUGAAUGGAUCAAUGUUGAUCUUGCCCUCUCUGUGUGGUGUUUGAUAGCAUGCCGCUUGUGUACCUUUGAUUUGAUCAGUGAAAUAAUACAAAUAGAAAAAAUAUCAUUAGAGAUCCUCUGAAUGCUCUUUUGUUAAAACGCAAGCUUUGUUUACAACUGCUUGGGGGAAUGUUGAAAGUAUUUUUAUUACAGAAGUAGAUCUUCAACGGAAGACCCUACAUCUAAGGACACUCACACCGACACCCACAAAACUGUUUCUAAUAUUAACACAGUGUGCUAUUAUUACGUAGACUGCAAUUAGUAUUCAUUAUUAUUCAUGCACAACUAAAUUGAACAUGAAUGAUUGAAGCCCUGCAUAUGUAACAGGAGGGUUUACAGAGGACAAAAGGGACACCAGCCACCAAGGGAACAGUGAUCUAAGGUGACUUAUAGGACUCAUCGGUCCACGAGCUGCAGUCGCUAACACAUCUCAACUGUUCUGUUUCUGGAUCACAUCAACAAGAUCUCUCCUGUGAAUGACAGGAUUCAUUUCAAACCCUGCCUAUGUACCAGGAGUGUUACAGAGAACAAAGAGUCACUCACCUAGAGGACAGCGAUCUGACUGAGUGACUAGUGACACCCACCAAGAGGACAGGGAUCUGACGGAGUGACUAGUGACACACACCUAGAGGACAGCGAUCUGACGGAGUGACUAGUGACACCCACCUAGAGGACAGGGAUCUGACGGAGUGACUAGUGACACCCACCAAGAGGACAGCGAUCUGACGGAGUGACUAGUGACACCCACCUAGAGGACAGAGAUCUGACGGAGUGACUAGUGACACACACCAAGAGGACAGGGAUCUGACUGAGUGACUAGUGACACCCACCAAGAGGACAGGGAUCUGACGGAGUGACUAGUGACACCCACCAAGAGGACAGGGAUCUGACGGAGUGACUAGUGACACCCACCUAGAGGACAGCGAUCUGACGGAGUGACUAGUGACACACACCUAGAGGACAGCGAUCUGACGGAGUGACUAGUGACACACACCUAGAGGACAGCGAUCUGACGGAGUGACUAGUGACACCCACCUAGAGGACAGAGAUCUGACGGAGUGACUAGUGACACACACCAAGAGGACAGGGAUCUGACUGAGUGACUAGUGACACCCACCAAGAGGACAGGGAUCUGACGGAGUGACUAGUGACACCCACCAAGAGGACAGGGAUCUGACGGAGUGACUAGUGACACCCACCUAGAGGACAGCGAUCUGACAGAGUGACUAGUGACACCCACCUAGAGGACAGCGAUCUGACGGAGUGACUCAUGGUGAGGUGAUCCUAUCUGGGUAGACGGGGAAUGGUGGGCCAUUGCAGAGGUUACCCACGAUGUGUUGCAGAACAGAGCAGGUGGCUGCCCGUUUGCUAAAGUAGUGCACUACAUAAGGAUUAGGGUGCCCUUUUGGACACACAACGACCUCUCCCACGUUAGAUGGGUCUACAAAUAGAGUCAUUCAUCAUAACAGUUGUCCUUACUGCAACCCUGAGUGUAACUGAUCAUCGACAAGUGGUUUUUAUUGAGAACAUUUAUCAUGGAGAAUACAUUUUAAUAUCUAUUUUUUUACACUUUGCUAUUAAUUUAAAAAACAGCCGGCCAGGCCGGGAGAAGUUCUCGGGAGAUGUUAGGUAGUGAAUGACAAGGUCAUCUCAAUUAUUCACACGUUACAAAUGGUGCAGGUGAAAAACCAAGAGACCACUUUAUGAUAAACGUAAAAUACAACACACACCAAGGUAUGAUAACUAACAAGUUCACUCAGAACUCGAGCAAUUAAAAAGGUGAUCAGGUGUAAGAAAUAUGGUUCAAACUCCCUCUAGCCCACAAACACCAAUCCAAUGCUUUAUACAUGGCCAGAGCAGUGCUCACUUGAGGAGAAUUGGGAGAUAACCUGCAUUGUGCCUAGUUAAACCACUUAAUGUUGGUUAACCAUUAAACUGACUGGUUGAUACAUUUUCAUCAAUGCUUAAUAAAUCAGUGAUGUUCCACAUCCCCAUAACAACCUCCAGACAUUCCAAUAAAGCAGUUCUAGAACACGACCAUCAAAGAGAGGGAACACACCAUAGCGAAUGUCGGCCGUGCACAGUACGGUGAGGAAUCUGGGGCUGCAAGGUGCGUUCGAAGUGUCGAUGAUCAAUGUGUCCUGCAAUUCACAUUAGUUCUCGCAGCUAGCUGCGUUCUUCAUCGACGCACGAGCCGAAUGAUCCACCGCUAAGAGUUGUACUCUUUUUGUUUUUACACAGAGGCUCAGUGGCUAGGCGGGGUUGGGGAGGUUGCCCUCCUUUCCCCCGCCCCUUCGCCACAGCGAGAGGCAACAGUUCAUGGAUAAAAAAAAUGGGCGCAGAGCGGUUGGCUAGGUACCCGGAGACGUGCGAGGGUCCUGGGCGAGACCCAAGUGCUUGAUGUGUGAGACCGAGGCGGGAAGACCCAGUUCACCGGCAAUCCCCGAUCCCCUUCGGACGCGGCCGACGCACCUGUGCCUAACGGUGAAAGGGCAGGGUGGAGCCGGUCGGGCGCAACUCAGGCGACAUGGAGAUGCGGGGAACCGAGCUCGGGCGGGAGCCGAAGCCACCCUCCUGGCCCAGAACCCCUCGCCGAGGGAAGGGAGAGGCGGGGGGCGCGAGCCCCCUACCCAGCCCAGAGCAGAGUUUUGUUUUUGGAGCACAGCCCCCCGCUGAGCCGCUCAGUGUGGCACGCGUGCAGCCCAGGACAUCUAAGGGCAUCACAGACCUGUUAUUGCUCAAUCUCAUGUGGCUGAACGCCACCUGUCCCUCUAAGAAGUUGGACGCCGACCGCUCGGGGCCACAUAACGAACGAGUCUCCGGCAUGCUAACUAGUUAUCAGAAUUAACCAGACAAAUCGCUCCACAAACUAAGAACGGCCAUGCACCACCACCCACAGAAUCGAGAAAGAGCUAUCAAUCUGUCAAUCCUUUCCGUGUCCGGGCCGGUCUUAGUUUGUGGAA